UUGGAGGGCAAGUCUGGUGCCAGCAGCCGCGGUAAUUCCAGCUCCAAUAGCGUAUAUUAAAGUUGUUGCAGUUAAAAAGCUCGUAGUUGAAUUUCGGAAUCAAUUUGUUGGUCGUGCCUCGGUACGUACUGGUAUUAUUGGUUUCUACCUUCUGAAGAACCUUGAUGUCAUUAAUUUGGUGUCUUGGGGAAUCAGGACUGUUACUUUGAAAAAAUUAGAGUGUUUAAAGCAAGCAUACGCUUGAAUACAUUAGCAUGGAAUAAUGAAAUAGGACGUUUGAUUCUAUUUUGUUGGUUUCUAGGAUCGACGUAAUGAUUAAUAGGGAUAGUUGGGGGCAUUAGUAUUCAAUUGUCAGAGGUGAAAUUCUUGGAUUUAUUGAAGACUAACUACUGCGAAAGCAUUUGCCAAGGAUGUUUUCAUUAAUCAAGAACGAAAGUUAGGGGAUCGAAGACGAUCAGAUACCGUCGUAGUCUUAACCAUAAACUAUGCCGACUAGGGAUCGGACGAUGUUAAUUUUUUAAUGACUCAUUCGGCGCCUUACGGGAAAC
rnacentral:rRNA from 1 species